rnacentral:rRNA from 1 species
AUUGAACGCUGGCGGCAGGCCUAACACAUGCAAGUCGAGCGGAGCGGCGGACGGGUGAGUAAUGCCUAGGAAUCUGCCUGGUCGUGGUGGAUAACGUCCGCCAACGGGCGCUAAUACCGCAUCCUCUCCGAUUAGCCUGGGUGGGAUUUGCUAGUUGGUGGUGUAAAGGCCUACCAAGGCUACGAUCCGUAACUGGUCUGAGAGGAUGAUCAGUCACACUGGAACUGAGACACGGUCCAGACGCCUACGGGAGGCAGCAGUGGGGAAUAUUGGACAAUGGGCGAAAGCCUGAUCCAGCCAUGCCGCGUGUGGGAAGAAGGUCUUCGGAUUGUAAAGCACUUUAAGUUGGGAGGCGUUACCAACAGAAUAAGCACCGGCUAACUUCGUGCCAGCAGCCGCGGUAAUUC